rnacentral:rRNA from 1 species
GAUGAACGCUGGCGGCAUGCCUAAUACAUGCAAGUCGAGCGAACGGACGAGAAGCUUGCUUCUCUGAUGUUAGCGGCGGACGGGUGAGUAACACGUGGAUAACCUACCUAUAAGACUGGGAUAACUUCGGGAAACCGGAGCUAAUACCGGAUAAUAUUUUGAACCGCAUGGUUCAAAAGUGAAAGACGGUCUUGCUGUCACUUAUAGAUGGAUCCGCGCUGCAUUAGCUAGUUGGUAAGGUAACGGCUUACCAAGGCAACGAUGCAUAGCCGACCUGAGAGGGUGAUCGGCCACACUGGAACUGAGACACGGUCCAGACUCCUACGGGAGGCAGCAGUAGGGAAUCUUGCGCAAGGGGCGAAAGCCUGACGGAGCAACGCCGCGUGAGUGAUGAAGGUCUUCGGAUCGUAAAACUCUGUUAUUAGGGAAGAACAUAUGUGUAAGUAACUGUGCACAUCUUGACGGUACCUAAUCAGAAAGCCACGGCUAACUACGUG